GACGAACGCUGGCGGCGUGCUUAACACAUGCAAGUCGAACGGAAAGGCCCUGCUUGCAGGGUGCUCGAGUGGCGAACGGGUGAGUAACACGUGGGUGAUCUGCCCCUUACUUUGGGAUAAGCCUGGGAAACUGGGUCUAAUACUGGAUAGGACCAUGCUGUAGGUGGUGUGGUGGAAAGAUUAGUUUCGGUAAGGGAUGAGCUCGCGGCCUAUCAGCUUGUUGGUGGGGUAAUGGGCUACCAAGGCGUCGACGGGUAGCCGGCCUGAGAGGGUGGACGGCCACAUUGGGACUGAGAUACGGCCCAGACUCCUACGGGAGGCAGCAGUGGGGAAUAUUGCACAAUGGGCGCAAGCCUGAUGCAGCGACGCCGCGUGGGGGAUGACGGCCUUCGGGUUGUAAACUCCUUUCAGCCAUGACGAAGCCCUUGUGGUGACGGUAGUGGUAGAAGAAGCACCGGCUAACUACGUG
rnacentral:rRNA from 1 species